rnacentral:lncRNA from 1 species
UCUUCUUUCUUGGCCUCAUCACUUUCUGAACCAUCAUGAGAGCUUUCUUGGAUUGAGGGGACAUGUUCUUCUUCUUCUUCUAGAAUAGUAUUUUCUGACCCAUUCUCUGGGCAGGUUGGGGAAGUUGCACUUGGGGAUGCACUUUGAUCAUUCUGAAUUCCUUUUUCUUCAUCAGAGUUGCUUCUCUGAGAAUUGGCCAUGGGGCUUGAGCACUUUUCUUC